rnacentral:rRNA from 1 species
UACAGAGGUCUCAAGCGUUGUUCGGAUUCAUUGGGCGUAAAGGGUGUGUAGGUGGCGCGCUAAGUCGGGUGUGAAAUUUCGGAGCUUAACUCCGGAACUGCAUUCGAUACUGGCGUGCUUGAGGACUGGAGAGGAGACUGGAAUUCAUGGUGUAGCGGUGAAAUGCGUAGAUAUCGUAAGGAAGACCAGUGGCGAAGGCGGGUCUCUGGACAGUUCCUGACGCUGAGGCACGAAGGCCAGGGGAGCAAACGGG